GAUGAACGCUGGCGGCGUGCCUAAUACAUGCAAGUCGAGCGAACAGACGAGGAGCUUGCUCCUCUGACGUUAGCGGCGGACGGGUGAGUAACACGUGGAUAACCUACCUAUAAGACUGGGAUAACUUCGGGAAACCGGUGCUAAUACCGGAUAAUAUAUUGAACCGCAUGGUUCCAUAGUGAAAGACGGUUUUGCUGUCACUUAUAGAUGGAUCCGCGCCGCAUUAGCUAGUUGGUAAGGUAACGGCUUACCAAGGCAACGAUGCGUAGCCGACCUGAGAGGGUGAUCAGCCACACUGGAACUGAGACACGGUCCAGACUCCUACGGGAGGCAGCAGUAGGGAAUCUUCCGCAAUGGGCGAAAGCCUGACGGAGCAACGCCGCGUGAGUGAUGAAGGUCUUCGGAUCGUAAAACUCUGUUAUUAGGGAAGAACAAAUGUGUAAGUAACUAGGCACGUCUUGACGGUACCUAAUCAGAAAGCCACGGCUAACUACGUG
rnacentral:rRNA from 1 species